rnacentral:rRNA from 1 species
AUUGAACGCUGGCGGCAUGCUUUACACAUGCAAGUCGAACGGUAACAGGGUGCUUGCACCGCUGACGAGUGGCGAACGGGUGAGUAAUGCGUCGGAACGUGCCGAGUAGUGGGGGAUAACGCAUCGAAAGGUGUGCUAAUACCGCAUACGUACUGAGGUAGAAAGUGGGGGACCUUCGGGCCUCACGCUACUCGAGCGGCCGACGUCUGAUUAGCUAGUUGGUGAGGUAAAGGCUCACCAAGGCGACGAUCAGUAGCGGGUCUGAGAGGAUGAUCCGCCACACUGGGACUGAGACACGGCCCAGACGCCUACGGGAGGCAGCAGUGGGGAAUUUUGGACAAUGGGCGCAAGCCUGAUCCAGCCAUGCCGCGUGUCUGAAGAAGGCCUUCGGGUUGUAAAGGACUUUUGUCCGGGAGCAAAUACCCAGUGCUAAUAACGCUGGGGGCUGAGAGUACCGGAAGAAUAAGCACCGGCUAACUACGUGCCAGCCGCCGCCGUAACAC